AUUACACUCUCUCUUGAUCUAACAAAAUGAAUGAAAUUCAAUGUUUAAAGCUAUUUGCUUUUAAGGGAUUCUUAAGUCAUUGCUUCAAAAAAUAUUUAUAUGGUGUACCUACAUUCUGAUAACACCAAGAUGUGAGUUUGGCUACUUUCUAUUUCUAGCUACUCACUAUUGUGGGGGAGGGGGGCAGAAUUUACUAAUUUUUUUUAUUGUUCUAUUUAUAUGAUUUGCUAACAAUUUCACAUCCUUUAAGUACCACACUGCCUCUAGAAGAAGGUACUCUUUUUAUCACCAAGAACACUAACAAAUUAGCCAUUUCACUCGUACGUUUUGAAAAGCAGUUUACUCAUUGUCACUCGCUGAUAAUGAAAGAACCAAAGUUUAAAAGCACUGGGUUCAAGUGUUUACUUUAUGUCCAGAUAUUUUAUCUAUUCAUGACAUAAUGUGCACAUGCUUUCCAUAAAUGGCAUUCAGAAAACAUCCCUAUGGGUGAGAAAGAAAAGAUAUGUGCCAUAAAGUUUUAUCAGCUUCUCACUUCAGUUCAAGUACUGUUAAUCAUCAAAGGAUUUAGAUUACUAGACACCGGGAAGGCCCCAAAGAGCAGUAAGUCUACCUACUCACCUCAGCCAAGUGUCUUUGUUACUACUAUAAUCACAACUUUCUGAAUCACUGACAUCAGAGAAACCAUCUUCAGUGCUGACUAGAGUAGAGAGUGAUGAUGAACAUGAAGACGGCCGAUUGCCGAAAAGAAUAUGUACUUAUAACGAUUGGGAAACACAUAUGACGUGUGUUUUCACGGCCCGGUUUUGUUAUUUUUAGCACUUCUAAAAUAUAUUUUGUUAACAAUCAUCAAAUCUGCUUUAUACCGUAAAUUUUACAUUUUAAACUUCAUCCUUAUCAGGUAAUUUCCUUUAUCGAAACGGCUAGAGCUAAAACCGCCACUUGUACGUAAUAGGGAAAUAUUUUAUUCAAAAGGUUUCAAGUUUUUUUAUACGCUACAUUGGGAGGUACGAGAAGUGGUGGACUUAAACAUGGAUUAAUAGUUUUAUCU